rnacentral:tRNA from 1 species
AUAUUGGUGGUUCAGUGGUAGAAUUCUCGCCUUCCAUACUGGAGACCUGGGUUCGAUUCCCAGGCAAUGGA